rnacentral:tRNA from 1 species
UCUAUAGCUCAACUGGUAGAGCAGCUGUUUUGUAAUCAGCAGGUUGGGGGUUCGAUUCCCUCUGG